AUUGAACGCUGGCGGCAGGCCUAACACAUGCCAGUCGAGCGGAUGAAGGGAGCUUGCUCCUGGAUUCAGCGGCGGACGGGUGAGUAAUGCCUAGGAAUCUGCCUGGUAGUGGGGGAUAACGUCCGGAAACGGGCGCUAAUACCGCAUACGUCCUGAGGGAGAAAGAGGGGGAUCUUCGGACCUCACGCUAUCAGAUGAGCCUAGGUCGGAUUAGCUAGUUGGUGGGGUAAAGGCCUACCAAGGCGACGAUCCGUAACUGGUCUGAGAGGAUGAUCAGUCACACUGGAACUGAGACACGGUCCAGACUCCUACGGGAGGCAGCAGUGGGGAAUAUUGGACAAUGGGCGAAAGCCUGAUCCAGCCAUGCCGCGUGUGUGAAGAAGGUCUUCGGAUUGUAAAGCACUUUAAGUUGGGAGGAAGGGCAGUAAGUUAAUACCUUGCUGUUUUGACGUUACCAACAGAAUAAGCACCGGCUAACUUCGUG
rnacentral:rRNA from 1 species